AAAAGAGGGUGGGGGGAGGGAGCACAUGACUUGCGCGCACCCUCUCCCUCGCCCACUGCUGCCGCCUCCUUCUUCUGUCGCUCCUGGUGCUGCUUGUGUGCGGACCUGGUAACCUCUUUUGUGAAGCGGCAGCUGAGGAGACUCCGGCGCUCGCCAUGGCCAACAAAAAGCGCAAGGAAGGAGUCAAGACUGAGAACAACGAUCAUAUUAAUUUGAAAGUGGUGGGGCAGGAUGGUUCUGUGGCGCAGUUUAAGAUUAAGAGGCAUACACUGCUUAGUAAACUAAUGAAAGCCUAUUGCCAACAACAGGGAUUGUCAGUGAGGCAGAUCAGAUUCCGAUUUGACGGGAAUCAAUGAAACAGACACACCUGCACAGUUGGAAAUGGAGGCUGAAGAUACAAUUGAUGUGUUCCAACAGCAGACUGGAGGUGUCUACUGAAAAGGGAACCCUGCUUCUUUACUUCAGAACUCUGUUCUUUAAAGACCAAGAUUACACUCUCAAUUAGAAAACUGCAAUUUGGUUCCACCACAUCCUACUACAGUAUAGUUUUCUCUAUUCUUUCAUUUUCCCCUUCCCCAUUCCUUUAUUGUACAUAAAGUAACUGGUAUAUGUGCACAAGCAUAUUGCUUUUUUUUUUUUUUUUAACAGCCAAUGGUAUGUUUUGAUUGACAUCAAGUGGAGACGGGAUGGGGAAAAAUACUGAUUCUGUGAAAAUACCCCCUUUCUCCAUUAGUGGCAUGCUCAUUCAGCUCUUAUCUUUAUAUUCCAAUAAGUUAUUUUGCUUUCACUGUUUUAACAAAAAAACAACAUAAAAAUCCUUGCAUACCUUGUUU